AGUGAACGCUGGCGGUAGGCCUAACACAUGCAAGUCGAACGGCAGCACAGUAAGAGCUUGCUCUUACGGGUGGCGAGUGGCGGACGGGUGAGGAAUACAUCGGAAUCUACUUUUUCGUGGGGGAUAACGUAGGGAAACUUACGCUAAUACCGCAUACGACCUACGGGUGAAAGCAGGGGAUCUUCGGACCUUGCGCGAUUGAAUGAGCCGAUGUCGGAUUAGCUAGUUGGCGGGGUAAAGGCCCACCAAGGCGACGAUCCGUAGCUGGUCUGAGAGGAUGAUCAGCCACACUGGGACUGAGACACGGUCCAGACCCCUACGGGAGGCAGCAGUGGGGAAUAUUGGACAAUGGGCGCAAGCCUGAUCCAGCCAUACCGCGUGGGUGAAGAAGGCCUUCGGGUUGUAAAGCCCUUUUGUUGGGAAAGAAAAGCAGCAGGUUAAUACCCCGCUGUUCUGACGGUACCCAAAGAAUAAGCACCGGCGAACUUCGU
rnacentral:rRNA from 1 species